rnacentral:misc_RNA from 1 species
GGACUUUUCAAAAUGGACAACUAUUCUAGAAUCUAGAUAGAAAAAGAAAUGAUUAGCACUACAUGCAAUGUGACACACAUGACAAUACAAAGUCUUAGCUUCCAAGCACAAUUAGUAUAAGAGGAUGAAAUCUCAAAACAAUGGCAAAUCCCACUCUCCUCAAUCCCAUGUGCCUACAACAUAAAAUGGAGGCUGCACUUUCAGUGGAAACAACCUCUAACAAGUUUUUCACCAUACAUAUGUACACCUUUUUCUUAUUAUUUAAUAUGCUAUAGACACAUGAGAGAGAGACAAUGCUUUAGAAUAUUAACAAGUUAGCAUUCACCUGGA